rnacentral:rRNA from 1 species
AGGCUGAAAAGUUGUAAAAUCCUUUUGUUGAUGAAGAAUAAGGGUGAGAGGGAAUGCUCAUCUGAUGACGGUAAUCGACGAAUAAGCCCCGGCUAAUUACGUGCCAGCAGCCGCGGUAACACGUAAGGGGCGAGCGUUGUUCGGAAUUAUUGGGCGUAAAGGGCAUGUAGGCGGCUAUGUAAGCCUGAUGUGAAAUCCUGGGGCUUAACCCUAGAAUAGCAUUGGGUACUGUAUAGCUUGAAUUACGGAAGGGAAACUGGAAUUCCAAGUGUAGGGGUGGAAUCUGUAGAUAUUUGGAAGAACACCGGUGGCGAAGGCGGGUUUCUGGCCGAUAAUUGACGCUGAGAUGCGAAAGUGUGGGGAUCGAACAGGAUUAGAUACCCUGGUAGUCCACACUGUAAACGAUGUACACUAGGUGUUGGGGCAAGAGCUUCAGUGCCAAAGCAAACGCGAUAAGUGUACCGCCUGGGGAGUAUGCCCGCAAGGGUGA